rnacentral:rRNA from 1 species
UACGGGGGGUGCGAGCGUUGUCCGGAAUCACUGGGCGUAAAGAGCUCGUAGGCGGCUUGUCACGUCGGAUGUGAAAGCCCGAGGCUUAACCUCGGGUCUGCAUUCGAUACGGGCUAGCUAGAGUGUGGUAGGGGAGAUCGGAAUUCCUGGUGUAGCGGUGAAAUGCGCAGAUAUCAGGAGGAACACCGGUGGCGAAGGCGGAUCUCUGGGCCAUUACUGACGCUGAGGAGCGAAAGCGUGGGGAGCGAACAGG